rnacentral:tRNA from 1 species
GGCUGCGUAGCUCAGUUGGUUAGAGCGGACGACUCAUAAUCGUCAGGUCGACAGUUCAAGUCUGUCCGCAGCCA